UCAUUAAAAAGGCGGUCGAAUCCAAUGGAUGACGUCACAGACACGUAUGAUUUUUCGGACGAAGAUUUAAAUGAACUUAUGAAAAGAGGUUCACUUUUCCGGUUUGGAAAACGGGGAGCAUUGUUCCGAUUCGGCAAAAGAAGCGAAGAAGAUAAGCGGGGAUCUCUUUUCAGGUUUGGGAAACGUAUGGACGGUUAUUAUGUAUCACCAUAUGCAAGUAGUGAAAAUUUUCCGGAAAAAGAUGAUAAAAGAGGAAGCCUUUUCCGGUUUGGAAAGCGAUCCUCGUUGUUCCGAUUUGGAAGAAGUGUCGAUAAUGAAAAACCCCAUACGCCAUUUCGUUUUGGACGUGAGGAGGAAGAUGAAAUAUAAGGAAGAUGUUGAAGUAGUUGACUUGUAACUUACAACAUACGUUAGAAUGCAACUUUUCCAUCAACCUUCUGAUUUGUUCACAUUAAAAUUGUAAGAUUUUGUCAUCUCAUGCAGCGGAACAAUGUCAUUUUGACAAUACAAGUGUUACUACCUUUAAACAAUAGUUUGAAAUUGAUUUUUUUUAAAUAUAUUGUAUUCUGUAUAUGUUUAUUAGGAUCUAGUUGUAACAGAGGAGUAAUAUAAAUAUUAAAAUUUCUGCUGAGAGUG
rnacentral:misc_RNA from 1 species